rnacentral:rRNA from 1 species
AUGAACGCUGGCGGCGUGCCUCAUCCAUGCAAGUCGAGCGCACAGACGAGGAGCUUGCUCCUCUGACGUUAGCGGCGGACGGGUGAGUAACACGUGGAUAACCUACCUAUAAGACUGGGAUAACUUCGGGAAACCGGAGCUAAUACCGGAUAAUAUAUUGAACCGCAUGGUUCAAUAGUGAAAGACGGUUUUGCUGUCACUUAUAGAUGGAUCCGCGCCGCAUUAGCUAGUUGGUAAGGUAACGGCUUACCAAGGCAACGAUGCGUAGCCGACCUGAGAGGGUGAUCGGCCACACUGGAACUGAGACACGGUCCAGACUCCUACGGGAGGCAGCAGUAGGGAAUCUUCCGCAAUGGGCGAAAGCUUGACGGAGCAACGCCGCGUGAGUGAUGAAGGUCUUCGGAUCGUAAAACUCUGUUAUUAGGGAAGAACAAAUGUGUAAGUAACUAUGCACGUCUUGACGGUACCUAAUCAGAAAGCCACGGCUAACUACGUG